rnacentral:misc_RNA from 1 species
GAUGAAGAACGUAGCGAAAUGCGAUAAGUAAUGUGAAUUGCAGAAUUCAGUGAAUCAUCGAAUCUUUGAACGCACAUUGCGCCCGCCAGUAUUCUGGCGGGCAUGCCUGUUCGAGCGUCAUUUCAACCAUCAAGCCCCCGGCUUGUGUUGGGGACCUGCGGCUGCCGCAGGCCCUGAAAACCAGUGGCGGGCUCGCUAGUCACUCCGAGCGUAGUAAUACAUCUCGCUCAGGGCGUGCUGCGGGUUCCGGCCGUUAAAAGCCUUAUUUACCCAAGGUUGACCUCGGAUCAGGUAGGAAGACCCGCUGAACUUAAGCAUAUCAAUAAGCGGAGGA